AUGCCACUAAAAGUUAGGAUUUUCAUGUGGUAUCUUCGAAGAGGAGUUGUGCUAACUAAAGACAAUCUUACUAGAUGCAACUGGCAAGGAAGCGAGAAGUGUAGCUUUUGUACUCACGACGAGACAAUCAAACACCUCUUCUUUCAAUGCAAGUUUGCGCAUUCUACAUGGUCCGUCAUCCAAAUAGCGUUCAAUUUGUAUGCGCCGACAAGUGUUACCAAUAUAUAUGGUCACUGGCUUGACAAAAUACCAAAUACGAUUAGUACGCUAAUUCGGGUGGGAGCGUCUGCCUUAGUAUGGUCGCCUUGGCUAUGUAGAAAUGAUUGUGUUUUUAAUGGCAAAAUCUCCAUUCCUAUGCAGGUUAUCUACCGUUGUACGCAUUGGCUUCGUAUGUGGUCUACGCUGCACCGAACGGAGUACCAAUCACUGUUCAAGGUGGCGUGUAUGCGGUUGGAGCAGGUGGCCCGAGAAGUUUUUACCCAACAUGGGUGGCAGUAUAAUCUCCGGAUCGGUUCACCUCCUUCGUCAACAUAG
rnacentral:rRNA from 1 species